rnacentral:misc_RNA from 1 species
AACGGUCGGUUCGGGACCAUUGAGGAGGCCGGACUACUCUGCCUGUUCCUAGCGACGGACGCCACGUUCUGUACCGGGAUAGACAUCAACUUGUCGGGGGGCGCCGAGCUCAGCUACGGAGUCAAAAACAUGCGCCUCACCGCCCCCAAAUAGCUGUCGUGCAAUAUAAAAUUAUAAAUAUAUAACUGCCUGUAUUUAUACUUGUAUAUCAAUUAUAUUAAAGCAUUGUAUUUAGUGGGAAUUAAAGUUCCACCUUUGUUUAUAUAUAUUUACAGUUCAUUCAUUUUGUAUUUCAAGUAGACUUUGACCCGUACGUGCACGGCUUGACAUUGCAUAUUAUGUCGGGCAUUUACGAAAUAGAUACAUCAAAUUUGCACACCAUUCUGACAUUCAGAACUCGGAAUUUUUCAUGUUAAACGCACAGAGUUAUCUCCAGUAUUAUAUUUCAUGAACAGAAUAUGUUAUAAUAGCAGAUUUUUUAUGAAAGUUGAUAUG